AACCAGCUUUUGCCAUAAGGUUCAUGUCUUCACAUAUAUUUUGUUAGAUGUGUUUCCUUCUUUCUGCAGUUCUUUAUUUUUUACCUUCUAGAUAACUCUUGCAUUCAUUUUUACUUGAAGUCUGUUGCUUGUGUUCUAGUCAGAUUACCUCCUUACAUUUCUGUCCAGCUCAGUCUGCCACCAUCUACUGCAGCCUCAGCCCGUUUACCUUAUUCAUUCCACCUGCGCUGUGCUCAUUAGCCAGCACCUGUGUCACCUGGGACUCUGCCUAUUUCUACCUGCCUCCCACAGCCAUCCUCUCUCUGCCUGCUAGUCAGAAAGCCACAGAGUGAGUAAGCCAUCGUCUGGCUGCAUGUUUUGACAUAAUUACAGGUUUUUGGGGAUUUUCCCAGUUUGCCUCUCUGGACACCUCAAUGGCUCUCUGACUCUGGACAUGACCACGCAAUGUUUGUCUGCCUUCUCCUGCUGUGAGCAGCCUGCUCCACUCCGGACAUGUUUCUGUUUUUAAUUGUUUUAUGUUACAGUAAACCUUUAAAGCGCAGCUCUGUGUUUGGCUUGAAUCUCGGGUUCUCUGCUGUUCCUGACAUCAGGAACUGAACAUCUCCAGGGUUGAUGCUGACGCUCUCUCCCUAAACACAGACGUCUGAGGCUACCUUCACACUGCAGGUGCUUGUUUUGCCAGACGUCAAAGACAAAUCCCCGUCUAAAAACGGUGGAUUAUAAAGUUAUCGCAUCUUAACAGCACAAGUUGUGGAGCCAUUAAGCAGAUGGGCUGCAGCAGAAGCACACACCUUUCCUGGCUGCUGGGAACAGGAAAAGGAGGCUACAAAUGACAAAAACUGACCAAAACAAGGCGUCAGAAAAACAUUUUGCAGUUCUGAUGAGCUCUGAGUUCAGCAGCAUCGUUCAGAUGAUCAGUUUAACAUGAACACCGUGAACGCACGCCUUCAUCCUGCUUUGUAUCAACAGCUCAGCUUGGCUGUGGUGGAUUUGUGGUGUCACCACUUCACAAAGCCUAAAUCAUCUUAAAAUUGUUUCUUUAACAUGCCAAUGAGUUUACACACUCCUAAACGGGGCAUAUUUGGGAUUUGACAACAUUUUCAGACUCAUAUGAGGCGUUUCAUCUUUUCUGACCCAGAGGAACUGAGGAAUCUCCAAAUUUCCACACAGAAAAUUUAUAGUUGAAAGUCAGAUUAUCAAUAACAAAAAAACACAAUUUUUCUGUCUGUCUGGAUAAAAUUAUAAUGCCUGUAGAUGAAUAACUACUGUGUCUGGCUUCUUUAGUCACAUUAUGAUACGAUCUGAACGCGUCACACAAACUUUGGCUUUGGACCAACGCCGUCAACGGUGGGAGUAACCGCCAGCGACCAGCGACCUUACCGUGCCACAUUUCUGCCAUAACUGUGUCCAAGUGUGAAAACCAACCGCACAAUUUGGCUGCAGCAGCAACAACCUGUCAGAAAACCCGUCAGAUUCAUUCAUGCAGCGCUUUUUGAGCAGAAAACGUGCAGAAGGUACAAACAAGUCAGAGAUUCAACCUGUUUGGAUGCAGAACUCCAGCUAAACACUCAUUCUGAUGUUUAGCUGGUAUUAAUGUUUUCUAAAACACAUAAAACACAAAAUAAAGGGCACAUUUUUCAAGGAAAUGCCAGAACCUAUUUAAUACUAUUUAAUACAGUUUGGAAAACUGUUGGUUUUCUUUCAUUGAAGUCCAUGGUUUACUUUGGUUUAGCUUCCCAGUACUUUUAAAAAAGCACUGUUGUUGGUUUCUUUAGUCGGUUUAUUCUGAAUGAAAUGUCUUGAUUGAGAGAGAAAGGGGAACCAAAUUUAAAUCCUUCGUGUGAGUGCCCAAAGUUGCUGAUUAGAGCUGAUUU